rnacentral:misc_RNA from 1 species
AACGCACCUUGCGCUCCUUGGCAUUCCGAGGAGCAUGCCUGUUCGAGUGUCUUUGAAACAGUCGGCCCCAAGCCAUUGGGGAUCGGAUCCUUUGGACGGUUGGUGCAGCCUUCUCCCUGAGGGUUGCUCGUCCUAAACUCAUUAGCCGUGACGCGUUUCGUCCUGGUGGUGGAGUGUAAAUGCACCUCCCCGUCUUUCAUGCCAGUGUCGUGUCGUGCCGUGCGGCUGCCAGCCGUCUCGCAAAGGGACAGGUCACCUUUUUUUUUUGGCCUCGAAUCAGGUAGGACUACCCGCUGAACUUAA